UCUCCGUUGGUGAACCAGCGGAGGGAGCAUUACCGAGUUUACAACUCCCAAACCCCUGUGAACAUACCAUUUGUUGCCUCGGCGGUGCCUGCUUCGGCAGCCCGCCAGAGGACCCAAACCCUUGAUUUUAUACAGUAUCUUCUGAGUAAAUGAUUAAAUAAAUCAAAACUUUCAACAACGGAUCUCUUGGUUCUG
rnacentral:misc_RNA from 1 species